rnacentral:rRNA from 1 species
AGGGAUCAUUACCGAGUUUACAACUCCCAAACCCAAUGUGAACCAUACCAAACUGUUGCCUCGGCGGGGUCACGCCCCGGGUGCGUCGCAGCCCCGGAACCAGGCGCCCGCCGGAGGGACCAACCAAACUCUUUCUGUAGUCCCCUCGCGGACGUUAUUUCUCACAGCUCUGAGCAAAAAUUCAAAAUGAAUCAAAACUUUCAACAACGGAUCUCUUGGUUCUGGCAUCGAUGAAGAACGCAGCGAAAUGCGAUAAGUAAUGUGAAUUGCAGAAUUCAGUGAAUCAUCGAAUCUUUGAACGCACAUUGCGCCCGCCAGUAUUCUGCGGGCAUGCCUGUCCGAGCGUCAUUUCAACCCUCGAACCCCUCCGGGGGGUCGGCGUUGGGGAUCGGGAACCCCUAAGACGGGAUCCCGGCCCCGAAAUACAGUGGCGGUCUCGCCGCAGCCUCUCCUGCGCAGUAGUUUGCACAACUCGCACCGGGAGCGCGGCGCGUCCACGUCCGUAAAACACCCAACUUCUGAAAUGUUGACCUCGGAUCAGGUAGGAAUACCCGCUGAACUUAAGCAUAU